UUUGGUGAUGUUAGCAUCAUCCAGAAAAGUUGUCUAGAGAGGCUCUUCCUCGAGAAAGCUAAAUUUUGUCCAUUGAUACUGAAUAGAAUCUAGCUUCACAAGCCUGAGAAGAGAUCAUCAUCGAGAGUACCAGGUGACGGGCUCACCAGUUGCCUCCUCAAACUCUGUUGCUGAAGACACCACAUAAAAGCAGGCAGAGAAAACAUGGCGACGUAGCAGCCAAUACCAGCUCCAAAGAUUCGAUAUGCCUGCCACAAAUAACAAGCAGGAUUCAAGCAUGCAGCAGCAUUGCUCUUUGCCAAAGGGAACUGCAAACAGGUUCAUACUAGCUUGAAGUUGAUGGUGAAAAUAGGAAUUCCAUGCCAUUACCAUCAAGAUUUGUGGGACUGGUGUCAAGAUGAUCCAAUGUUCUGAAGCCACUGGAAGACCACACAUAUUUGCACUUGUCCAAUCCAGUUAGUAGAAAGGUCAGGUGUUCAGUUAAGAACAAAAGCAUCUUCUUAUGCUGCAUGUCCUCCCCAGCUGAACCAUGAAUCAAAGAAGAUCGAUUGAAAUUGAAACACAUGGACCAGUGAACCAUCUUCCAUAUGGUCCACGAAAAUGGAUGUGAUCAUGACUUGCACAAGAUUCCUUCGGAGACCAGGUUGUCAGUGUCAAUCCCUUUGAGCUUGACAUAUUUGUUGCAUGUCUCCUCUUGGAAAGCAACUUAGCCAACAGGGAUCUGCCUAUUGGUCCCAUUUGCUGCAUGUGUAAUGGAAACGAGUCGAAUGUGUUCAUCCAAAAUGGGAUGCAGCAAGCUGCCUUUGUUCAUAAAUGGAUCUGGAUUUUACUUUGACACUUCCACUGUCAUUUAUAUCAAUCACAAUGUGUUGAUCUCCCAUGUCUGCUCACCAGUUGGAGACUCUGGACGUCAGGAGCCAAGAGGUUCUGCAACAUAAAAAGUUUACUAAUUAGCCAUGCUUCUGUGACUGAUCCUGCAAGCACCAAGAGAGACAUUAAUCCAUCUUCAGGAACAGACCUGUAUUAAGUUAACAUUCUGUGCAAAAGAUUAAUUAAAGUCAAAAUCAAAUGGCUAAAAGUAUGAAGCAGAAAAGAAAAUAAGAUUUGUAUUAGUUCAUCUAUAUCUAAAUCUCAUCAGCCAGAGGGGCUAUUUCCACAACUCAUGAGAUGGAAGGAGUUCAAAAGGAAAACUAAGUGCAUCAGCAAUAAAGUAAGCCUCCAAAACACUAAACUAAGAACAAACAAAAAUAUUCAGCAACUAGUAAUGGUUCUUACACUGUAAUGCUCCUGAAUGUUGUCAAUGUCGAGCUUGACGACUGAUUCCACAUGCCCCUUCAGAGUGUGUAGCUCACAAAGCUUGCAAAUGGUCACGACAUUAGAGAUGUCAGCAUCUGGAAUAAUGUUUACGAUUAUUAUCAUAUGAGCAGGAAAUCAAACUCCCCCAAUCUUUUUUUUAAAUGCAGUACGCUAGUUACUAAUUUUCGGGGGAACACAAGAUCAUGCUUCUGUAAGAAAGCAACCUCAGCUCUAUGU
rnacentral:lncRNA from 1 species